UACGAAGGGUGCAAGCGUUACUCGGAAUUACUGGGCGUAAAGCGUGCGUAGGUGGUUUGUUAAGUCCGAUGUGAAAGCCCUGGGCUCAACCUGGGAAUUGCAUUGGAUACUGGCAGGCUAGAGUGCGGUAGAGGGUAGUGGAAUUCCCGGUGUAGCAGUGAAAUGCGUAGAGAUCGGGAGGAACAUCCGUGGCGAAGGCGACUACCUGGACCAGCACUGACACUGAGGCACGAAAGCGUGGGGAGCAAACAGG
rnacentral:rRNA from 1 species